AUUGGCAGCAGCGAGGAAUCUUCCACAAUGGGCGCAAGCCCGAUGGAGCAACGCCGCGUGGAGGACGACGGCCUUCGGGUUGUAAACUCCUUUCGGGGGGGAUGAAACGGACAGUACCCCCAGAAGCAGCCCCGGCUAACUCUGUGCCAGCAGCCGCGGUAAUACAGAGGGGGCAAGCGUUGUCCGGAUUUACUGGGCGUACAGCGCGCGCAGGCGGCUGGGAACGUGCCGUGUGACAAGCCACCGCUCACCGGUGGAGGGCCAUGGUAGACGUCCCGGCUGGAGGCAGGGAGAGGGAUGUGGAAUGCCCGGUGGAGCGGUGAAAUGCGUAGAGAUCGGGCGGAACACCAGCGGCGAAGGCGGCAUCCUGGUCCUGUACUGACGCUGAGGCGCGAGAGCGUGGGGAGCGAACUGGAUUAGAUACCCAGGUAGUCCACGCCGUAAACGAUGUGUACCCGGCGCUGGGCAGUGAUUGCGCUGCUCGGUGCCUCAGCUUACGCAGUGAGUACACCGCCUGGGGACUACGGCCGCAAGGCUAAAACUCAAAGGAAUUGACGGA
rnacentral:rRNA from 1 species